UUUUUUUUCUUUUUUUUUUUUUUUUAAGUGCUACUUUUGUUCCGCAUCGCAAUUAUCUUCUCUCCUUUAAUUCUGACGCUCGCUCCUUUGGGUUAAAAGUGCUGACGGGGGGGAUUUGCGUUUAGCAGAGCCAGACAAGCAGUGACCACAAAGGCUCUGAGGACUCCGCAGGAAGGGGGGGCACCUUGAGGCGAAUAAGUACGGCAGAAAGAAAUAAAAAACAAAAUCCAAGGUGUCCAAGUGAACGUCUCUGACUUUUGAGAGGAUUUAUGCUGGGUUGGACAGACAAGCUUUCUAAGUGAUGGACAAAGUCUUAUCCCGCGGUUUACGGUGUUUCCAGCUAUUGUUCUGCCUUCAGACCCCAGAAUGAGGGCUUUCGUCCGGGGAUGCGACUAUUGAGGCCCCCCCCCCCCCCCCCCCCAGCCCCCAGUCUGGUUAUGAUCUGCUCGAAAACAUCAUUACUACUGCAAGUCUGUUAUCAGUUUGGAGCCCCGGAGUUGAGAUUCCAGGCAAAGAAAGAGGAGAAACUACAGCGGACUUUUCUUUAAGGACUUCUCUGUAGGUGAAGUGUUGGCUAGGUUUCUGAAUAUGGACCUCCACUGACUUCUGACAAGCAAAAAUACCUCGGGCUCUGCAAGUUAACUCUUCCGAAGUGCAACAUUUGGAAUUAACCUUAAACCAGCCGCCUAAAAACCAAAGCAUUCAGCAGGUCGUUGCAAGUAUACAAGCUGGGCUGCUGCAAGCAGCUUUUGGGCUCCCUGUAUAUUACCAUCUCAGCUUGGGAUGCAGCUGAAUUUCUUUUUGCCUUAAAAAUGCAGCUCCCUCGCACCAAAUCAGCAGCAAAUGUUGCAACCCGACCGGGUUUCCCUUCAAAGGAAGCUCAGGAAAUCUCUUCCAUUUAAAACACUCCCUGGAAGUUACGGCCAUAAAUCACAAAAGUUUCGAGACAAGGCGGUAGCGAAAUGGAGAAAGAAAAUAUUCUGCUGUAAUCCGGGGCAGCCGUGUUUGGUGGGGAAAUAGGAAAUAAAGGAAGGAAUAAAGUC